CUACAAAUCAUUUUUGUUUGGUGACUUAUCGCUCACAACAACAAAGAUAUGCGGAACAUUUGAAGGUAUUCCCCUCGCUAAGCGAAAGAAUACUUCGUGACUUUGUAUCAGGGUGAACAUAAAACGCCCUCGAACUUUCCCAAGUGAAAUUUAAUUACCGUAUUCAAAAUUUUUAAUGCGCGUCUGAACGUUUUCAGGCAUUUUUGCCUCACUUGCUGUCAUCCAAAAGCAAAAAUUCACAGCAGGGUUGAUCCGUGAAUCGAAUUGUUCAUUUUCAUGCCUUUCUGUGACUCUUCCAGUCUUUCUGCAUCUGUUUCAACCUGCCGAUGCCACCGCGACACGAGCUCAACGAGGAACGUGCUGUUUAAAUCCUGCCAAUUGUGAGCCUCAUCCAGCGGACAGCACUCGUGAAUUUUAUGCCGUUUGGACAUUUGGCACACCAGGCAAAUGGGCUCCUCGUCGUUCUGACAAUAGACGCUGAGCUUCUCCUCGUGAAACCUGCAACGGUCUCGACUCAUCUGCGCCAUGUGAACUGCUGCAGGCAAACUUUGCAAACGUUAUGUCCACACUGGAGGAGAACGGGGAAGCAGUAGAUGUCCGUACACCGAGGACAAAUGAGGUCUUCUCUGGAGAUGACGCUGUGCGUUGCCAUUACCUUGAAGAGGG